UCCUGGAACUCACUUUGUAGACCAGGCUGG
rnacentral:piRNA from 1 species